rnacentral:rRNA from 1 species
GUUUGAUCCUGGCUCAGAUUGAACGCUGGCGGCAGGCCUAACACAUGCAAGUCGAGCGGAUGAAGGGAGCUUGCUCCUGGAUUCAGCGGCGGACGGGUGAGUAAUGCCUAGGAAUCUGCCUGGUAGUGGGGGACAACGUUUCGAAAGGAACGCUAAUACCGCAUACGUCCUACGGGAGAAAGCAGGGGACCUUCGGGCCUUGCGCUAUCAGAUGAGCCUAGGUCGGAUUAGCUAGUUGGUGAGGUAAUGGCUCACCAAGGCGACGAUCCGUAACUGGUCUGAGAGGAUGAUCAGUCACACUGGAACUGAGACACGGUCCAGACUCCUACGGGAGGCAGCAGUGGGGAAUAUUGGACAAUGGGCGAAAGCCUGAUCCAGCCAUGCCGCGUGUGUGAAGAAGGUCUUCGGAUUGUAAAGCACUUUAAGUUGGGAGGAAGGGUUGUAGAUUAAUACUCUGCAAUUUUGACGUUACCGACAGAAUAAGCACCGGCUAACUCUGUGCCAGCAGCCGCGGUAAUACAGAGGGUGCAAGCGUUAAUCGGAAUUACUGGGCGUAAAGCGCGCGUAGGUGGUUCGUUAAGUUGGAUGUGAAAUCCCCGGGCUCAACCUGGGAACUGCAUCCAAAACUGGCGAGCUAGAGUAUGGUAGAGGGUGGUGGAAUUUCCUGUGUAGCGGUGAAAUGCGUAGAUAUAGGAAGGAACACCAGUGGCGA